rnacentral:pre_miRNA from 1 species
AUUGUGUCCGUUUCUGCAAUUAAAGAAUAUAACGAAUUGUAGAAAACGACACAAUAU